rnacentral:rRNA from 1 species
UACAGAGGUCUCAAGCGUUGUUCGGAUUCAUUGGGCGUAAAGGGUGCGUAGGCGGCGGGGCAAGUCAGGUGUGAAAUCUCGGGGCUCAACCCCGAAACUGCACUUGAUACUGCCUUGCUCGAGUACUGGAGAGGAGACUGGAAUUUACGGUGUAGCAGUGAAAUGCGUAGAUAUCGUAAGGAAGACCAGUGGCGAAGGCGAGUCUCUGGACAGUUACUGACACUGAGGCACGAAGGCCAGGGGAGCAAACGGG